CCUAUUGAAAUUUAGGUUCUUCGUAAUCUUCGAUCUCUGACUUUUUUUUUUUUGUAACACCGAUCUCUGACUUCAACAAUGGAGUUUUGAGAGAUUAAUAUGCUCAAAUCGAAGUGAAGAAUUUUUCUGUAGUAUCUCAAUCACGUCGUUUGAUCUUCUUUAUAUAUCAAUCGAUCGAUCGAAACGUUUUGAGAUACAAAUUCACCGUCUUUAUAGCUUUCUUAACUCUAUCAACCACAGUCUAGCCUUCAAUGCAAGUUUAACUUCUGUAAUCGGUCUAUCUGUGAUUAUAAAAAGGUUAGCCUUCCUCUCAUGAAAACCAUUCUCUCAAUAUCUGAAAACAACUAAGUAAAUUUGGAUCUCCAUCUCCCGAUUUUCUAUCUAUUUAACUUCUGUAAGUCGAGCAUAUUGCCGCCGCCAAAUUGGAUAAUACGGGACGUUCCAAAUUCCUCGAGUUCAACAUUCUUUGAAAGCAAAAGUUAAGAUAUGCUUCCGCCGGGGAGGUUGCAGCGACGGCGGUCUUGCCUCCAAGUUUGUAUCUAUGCCGAUGAAAUGGAAACCUCCUUGACGAUGUGUGGUUUCAAGCUCCUGACGCCUAUGGCGUAUCAUGUAUAUGAAGUUUCUCAUUCUGUUGAACCAUGGAAGCUUGAAGAUUAUCAACCACCAUGCCAUCUUCAAAUGGAGUUACAAAACAGAGACAUAUUCUCAGUUAUAUUUUUUUUUGGAACACUUGGUGUUGAAAGGAGCAAGGGUUUCCCACGACAAGGACCUUGACGUUAGGACUUAGGAGGGCCUCGAGGUUUUUCACCAAUCAAAAGAGCUCACUCCACAUCUUGGAACACUUCAUAAGGAUAUGUUCCUAUAUCAACUUCUCUCAACCAAGGGAACAAGAAACCCUCGAGUUCCAUUGCAAUACCAUCGAGAGAAUGGUUUGGUCUGGUCCAAAUGCUGUAUCAGACUUACUUUGAUUAUUCAUGCAGCACCUCUCUCACUGUGAUUUGAAAUGGACAAGGGUUCGUGACAGAUUUGAUAGCUAUCUUCAUUCUUUUCUUUGAUGUAAUAAAUUCCUCACACUUGGAUUUUUUUUCCCAUAUAAGCCAUAACAUUUUAAUGUUUAUUAAAAUAUUUUA